AUACACAGAUGAUUUAAAAGCUGAACUCUUUCUGAUGGAAAGUGUAGUGGAGAAAACAGAGAAAUUCUGAGUAAG